ensembl:snRNA U6 U6 spliceosomal RNA
AUGCUCAUUUCAGCAGCACAUACAUCAAAAUUAGAACACUAAAGAAAAGAUUAAGUUGGCUCCUGUACAAAGAUGACAUAUAAAUAUGUGAAGUGUCCUAUAUUUUU